AACAUAAGAACUAUAAAUAAAAUAGCAUGCAAUAAUAUCAGACAAUAACUGCCAUAAAUAAUUACCAUAAGGGAGACACAAUCCAUACACAAAUCAUCUAUGGAUAGCCCUGCCAAGCCUCACCCAACCCCGGGUGAGGAGUACGAAAAACUUUAGGAGACCCUAUCCUACAACCCUGAUACUAGACCUCCAGACUUUCCUAUCAAGGGUCAUGUCCUCGGAAACCCGC
rnacentral:lncRNA from 1 species